rnacentral:rRNA from 1 species
GACGAACGCUGGCGGCGUGCUUAACACAUGCAAGUCGAACGGAAAGGCCCUGCUCUUGUGGGGUGCUCGAUUGGCGAACGGGUGAGUAACACGUGAGUAACCUGCCCUUGACUUUGGGAUAACUUCAGGAAACUGGGGCUAUAACCGGAUAGAAUCUCCUGCUCCACGUUGGGGGUUGGAAAGUUUCGGCGGUUGGGGAUGGACUCGCGGGUUAUGAGCUUGUUGGUGGGGUAGUGGCUUACCAAGGUUUUGACGGGUAGCCGGCCUGAGAGGGUGACCGGCCACAUUGGGACUGAGAUACGGCCCAGACUCCUACGGGAGGCAGAAGUGGGGAAUAUUGCACAAUGGGCGGAAGCGUGAUGCAGCAACGCCGCGUGCGGGAUGACGGCCUUCGGGUUGUAAACCGCUUUCGCCUGUGACGAAGCGUGAGUGACGGUAAUGGGUAAAGAAGCACCGGCUAACUACGUG